rnacentral:tRNA from 2 species
AAAGCUUUAAGUUAUUAAAACUAUUAACCUUCAAAGUUAAAAAUAAAGUUAUUUAAGCUUUA